AGUUAAUAAGCUAAAAGCUUAUGUUUUGAAAACAUAAUAUAGAAGUUAAAAUCUUCUAUUAACUU
rnacentral:tRNA from 1 species